UCCUACAAUUAUUGCCCCCUUGUUGACAUUUCACUGUUACAUCCACAUACCCAAAAGAAUAAUUACGAAGAUAUAAUGUGAAAAAAGAGAAACAUCAUCAUUUUAAUUGGUGAGGAUUAAUCAAAUCAUAAAACCAUUACAUAUUAACCUGCAUGAACUGCUUCAGACUCUCACCUCCAAAGUUGAUAUAAAGCAGAGAUCGGAGGACACCAUUGGGACUCAUUUGAGUCUGACUUUCACAUUAAUUUUGCUGUGCUGUGAAGAGUGAAGACAAAAUCAAUGUCCAUCAGUAAUUAUUCAAGGUAUCUAUUCAUUACGCCACAUAAAGUCAAAGAAAAUCAGUAGGAAAAUCCAUGUGGUUGACUUUCAUUAGUGUGUCCAGAGAGGAGUCUGUCUUCUUACUAAACUAUGGGCUCCCGUAAAGUAGAAACUUGGGCAUAGUAGGGCCUGAAGGAAUCCUAUGGUCAAGGUAAAAACAUCGAAAUCUGAGCAUUAUCCCUGAAAGUACAGCUGAAAAAGUCUUUCUACACCUUGUCCUUCUCAAAAGCAAUUAAUUUCCACAGAUAGGUGGCAAAUGAUCAGAACUUCAUUUGAGUUUUCUUGAUGAAUAAAUGGACAAACAAUGAUUUGUUAAUUUAGCUCUUUGGAGUGCAAGGAUCAGAGACUAAGUCAGUUCACUUAAAGGAAACAAACCAAGCAAAAAACAGAAACCAAAGAAGAAGAGAAAGGAAGACUUCAAGGGGAGGUGAAGAGCAGCUUAGCUUACUUUCCAGAGAUGGGCAAUGGCAGAAAUUGAAGGAUGGCAGAAAGAGCAAAAAUCAAAGAGAGGAGAGAAGAAAAGCUGGAAGGCAAAAUAUGUGACCAAAAAUACUGAUAUUGUAGAAUGAAUAAUAUUGUU
rnacentral:lncRNA from 1 species